UACGGAGGGUGCAAGCGUUAUCCGGAUUCACUGGGUUUAAAGGGUGCGUAGGCGGGUAGGUAAGUCAGUGGUGAAAUCUUCGAGCUUAACUCGGAAACUGCCCUUGAUACUAUCUAUCUUGAAUAUUGUGGAGGUAAGCGGAAUAUGUCAUGUAGCGGUGAAAUGCUUAGAUAUGACAUAGAACACCUAUUGCGAAGGCAGCUUACUACGCAUAUAUUGACGCUGAGGCACGAAAGCGUGGGGAUCAAACAGG
rnacentral:rRNA from 1 species